rnacentral:rRNA from 1 species
UUUUAGGCGGAGGGAAAGGAACUAACUAGGAUUCCCUUAGUAGCGGCGAGCGAACAGGGAUUAGCCCAGCACUGAAUCCCGCGAUCUUAACGGGUCGCCGGGAGAUGUGGUGUUUAGAAGGAUCCAUUAUCUGGCGAGUUCGCGGCGCGUUCAAGUCCAUCUUGAAUGGGGCCAUCGCCCAUAGAGGGUGCCAGGCCCGUAGCGACCGCUGCGUCUUGCUAGAGGAUCUCUUCUUAGAGUCGGGUUGCUUGAGAGUGCAGCCCUAAGUGGGUGGUAAACUCCAUCUAAGGCUAAAUAUAACCACGAGACCGAUAGCGAACAAGUACCGUGAGGGAAAGUUGAAAAGAACUUUGAAGAGAGAGUUCAAGAGUACGUGAAACCGUUCAGGGGUAAACCUGAGAAACCCGAAAGGUCGAAUGGGGAGAUUCAUUCGCGCCCGUUGUUGGGAUGUACCGUCUGCGGAAGCGGCGACGUUCGCGUCGGCUUGCUCUCUACGGUGCAUCUAUCGGCUUCGGACGCGUGCACUUCUCCCCUAGUAGGUCGUCGCGAUCCGUUGGGCGCUGUUCUACGGUCCGGACUGUGAAGACCGCGAGCUCGGAUUUUCCGAUGCUUGCUGGACACGCCGGUUACCGAACAGCUCGCUCGACGGUUUACUGAUGGCGGGAGGCCGCGAUUUAGUUCGCGUCCGACCCGUGGCAAGUACGUGUAUCGCGAUGGCUAUCGGACCCAGUGCCGAUUCCGUCCGUUCGCGACUGUUCGCCACGGUGUUCUCGGACAGACCUCUUGAAACGCCGAUCAGCGACGCUAUUGCUUUGGGUACUUUCAGGACCCGUCUUGAAACACGGACCAAGGAGUCUAGCGUGUGCGCGAGUCAUUGGGAUAAUACUAAACCUAAAGGCGAAAUGAAAGUAAACGUCCGCAUCUAGUGGACAGAGGGAAGAUGGUUGGUCUCCACGACCGACCCGCAUUCCCGGGGCGUCUCAUUCUCAUUGCGAGAGGAGGCGCACCAAGAGCGUACACGCUGGGACCCGAAAGAUGGUGAACUAUGCCUGGUCAGGACGAAGUCAGGGGAAACCCUGAUGGAGGUCCGUAGCGAUUCUGACGUGCAAAUCGAUCGUCUGAACUGGGUAUAGGGGCGAAAGACUAAUCGAACCAUCUAGUAGCUGGUUCCCUCCGAAGUUUCCCUCAGGAUAGCUGGCGCUCGUAGCAUACGAGUCUCAUCCGGUAAAGCGAAUGAUUAGAGGCAUUGGGGUCGAAACGACCUCAACCUAUUCUCAAACUUUAAAUGGGUGAGAUCUCCGGCUUGCUUGAAUGUGAAGCCGCGAGAUUUCGGAUCAGAGUGCCAAGUGGGCCAUUUUUGGUAAGCAGAACUGGCGCUGUGGGAUGAACCAAACGCCGAGUUAAAGCGCCUAAAUCGACGCUUAUGGGAUACCAUGAAAGGCGUUGGUAACUUAAGACAGCAGGACGGUGGCCAUGGAAGUCGGAAUCCGCCAAGGAGUGUGUAACAACUCACCUGCCGAAGUUACUAGCCCUGAAAAUGGAUGGCGCUGAAGCGUCGUGCUUAUACUCGGCCGUCAGCGGCAUGUGCGGUCGCCCUUCGGGGCGGUCAUGAAGCCCUGAUGAGUAGGAGGGUCGCGGAGGUGAGCGCAGAAGGGCUGGCCGUGAGGCCGUCUGGAGCCGCCUUCGGUGCAGAUCUUGGUGGUAGUAGCAAAUACUCCAGCGAGGCCCUGGAGAGCUGAGGUGGAGAAGGGUUUCGUGUGAACAGCCGUUGCACACGAGUCAGUCGAUCCUAAGCCCUAGGCGAAAGCCGAUGUUGAUGUGGCGUUGUUAAUCGUGUUUGUAAGUUUAUAGCAGCAAUGCUAAAGAGCUUGACGCGUGACGCACGCCCGUCGGGCGAAAGGGAAUCCGGUUCCUAUUCCGGAACCCGGCAGCGGAACCGUCCUUAAUUCGGGCCCUCGUAAGAGAGUUCGUCGGGGCAACCCAAAAGGACCCGGAGACGCCGUCGAGAGAUCCGGGAAGAGUUUUCUUUUCUGCAUAAGCGUUCGAGUUCCAUGGAAUCCUCUAGCAGGGAGAUAUGGUUUGGAACGCGAAGAGCACCGCAUUUGCGGCGGUGUCCGGAUCUUCUCCUCGGACCUUGAAAAUCCGGGAGAGGGCCACGUGUAGGCGUCGCGCCGGCUCGUACCCAUAUCCGCAGCUGGUCUCCAAGGUAAAGAGCCUCUAGUCGAUAGAAUA